AUUGAACGCUGGCGGCAUGCUUUACACAUGCAAGUCGAACGGUAACAGGGUGCUUGCACCGCUGACGAGUGGCGAACGGGUGAGUAAUGCGUCGGAACGUGCCGAGUAGUGGGGGAUAACGCAGCGAAAGUUGUGCUAAUACCGCAUACGUACUGGGGUAGAAAGUGGGGGACCUUCGGGCCUCACGUUAUUCGAGCGACCGACGUCUGAUUAGCUAGUAGGUGAGGUAAAGGCUCACCUAGGCGACGAUCAGUAGCGGGUCUGAGAGGAUGAUCCGCCACACUGGGACUGAGACACGGCCCAGACUCCUACGGGAGGCAGCAGUGGGGAAUUUUGGACAAUGGGCGAAAGCCUGAUCCAGCCAUGCCGCGUGUCUGAAGAAGGCCUUCGGGUUGUAAAGGACUUUUGUCGGGGAGGAAAUCCCUAGUGCUAAUAACACUGGGGGAUGACAGUACCUGAAGAAUAAGCACCGGCUAACUACGUGCCAGCAGCCGCAGUAA
rnacentral:rRNA from 1 species